UUGGUUCUUAUGAAGGUGCUUUCUUGUGUAGGUAGUUGUUACAUUUCAUAUUCCUGUGGGGAGGACAACUGGUGGAAGCUUCUAUUUGGCCUUCUUGGUAAUAUAAUUUUUGUAGCAAUAGAAGUAUGUAUAUUUCACAGAAAUGACACAUAAUUUAAACUGAUGCUCUCAGUAGUUUAUAAUCAUUAGGAAAGCAGCAUGAAAGAAGUGACUCCUAAGCAAAAUUGCAGGAGAUCAGUGGGAGUGCAAAGAUUUACAUAAAUUGGGAAUUUUAGAAACUGGAAGUAGCAAAUACCAACAUCAGUAUGCGGAUGGCUCUUUUAUGUUUUUGUCUCAUUUAGCACCUGACGAGUACAACAGACAAAUAAUAUACAUAUUUGUAUAUAAGAGAGAGAAACUGUGGUAACAGGUGAAAGUGCGGGUUCAAGGAAGAUGAGACAAAUAUGGAAUAAGCUUGUAUCCAUUCCUGGAGCCUGGAGCCUGGAGCCUGGGGCCCAGAUACUCAAGAAGCCUUGAGUCUAAUUUAGUCCAGCUGAUUUUCAGCUAACCCUCGCACACAUAAACAUGAGA
rnacentral:lncRNA from 1 species